CUACAUAAAUCAAGAGAGACAGUAACAUCUAUGGUUACGUCAGGAGAUAAUUUAAAAAUCACUAAUGUCAAAAUCAUCCCUAUUUUAUAAUAAAAUAAUAACAAAUGUAAUGUAAUGGCGAGUUGUGGUUUGCGAAGCUUGAAACGGGCGUUCUCGAGGUACAAGGACCAUGAUGAACUUCAGAGGUCUGUGGAGGAACGGCCGCCUCGGACGCCGACGCCGAGCUUCGCAUCUUGUAUAAGUGACACUUGUAGCCAUCAGCAGUCAUCAGACCGUCGUGAUCCCGAUGCAACUCCCAGAGCACCAGCAACUCGAGGACGGUCACCAGUUCCGUUAAAUGGAUGCUGCAUAAGUUUAAUGGACCGUAUAUCAUGUUCAAUGGCUACGUCAUUGAAAAGUAUUCACAUGUUAUACAAGACAGUCUCCAGCGACAGAUUCACUUGGCAGUUGAUCAAAAGUAUCAUAUUCUUCACACUCGGCUUGAAGUUGUUUAACGACAUAGCGAGACACAUGGCAAAGAACAAUAAAUAAAUAAAUGAA